UUCCUGUAAAAGGAACAAAGGAUUAAGGCAUACAGUAUUAGUCUGAAAUAGUAUUGCUAGCCCAGAGGCUGGUAUCAAAAUUGAGUCAGGUCUGGAAGCUGUAGGGUGUUGGGACCCUAUAGUUCACUUGAUAGCGUCAUAUACUGUAUACUAAUGCCAAAUUGUACUACAAAGUGGUGGGAAGUUACUGGGAUAAAAACUUGUCAAAAAGUUUACAGACAAAAACACCUAUAUUUUGGACUGUUUGGUUUGGUGUAUGUCCUAGGGUCUUCAGUGCAGCAGAACCCAGAAGUAGAUUUAACUAUACAAUAAGGACUUGGAGAAAGCUGCUGUUAGGGUUUGUUGUUAUUUUGUAUUGUUUUUCCCCUUUAGUUGCUUGCUUUGCUGCUUUUCUGGUGUCUGUUAUAUUUGGUUAAUGAUGACUUGAACAUCUUGGUAACUGACAAAGGUCUUCCUUGAUAGACUUGAAUUUGAACAUCUUGGUAACUGACAAAGGUCUUCCUUGAUAGACUUGAAUUUGAACAUCUUGGUAACUGACAAAGGUCUUCCUUGGAGAACUCUGGCAGUAUUUGUUUAAAUGACGGAAAGGACUAUUAAAGUUACUAGAAUGUGUCGGUUGGGACUCAUUUAAGAACAUGACAUUGAUCCUCCUCUUAGUCCCAGUCUCUUUUGAGUCAUACAGAGGGGAAUCCCACCAUCCUCCCUUUAGAGUUUAUUCCCCUGGUAGGCUUAAUUACAGCAUAUCUGGCCUUAGACUGGGGCUACAUGUCUGUCAAGAUUGGCAGGAUUUUCCCCCUUUUAAAAGACAAAAUAAAUUGAUGCUUCAACACUGUUUCCAGAAGCCAGGAGAGUUGGAAUAGCUAUGAGGAACCAUCAAGUUCUCUUUCUAAUUCAGGUGCUGGGGUAUCACAUUCUCCCCUUCUUCCUGCCAGCCUGCUCUCAUUGUUACCUACUUCCACCACCUACCAUCCUCCCUGCUACUGUCAAAUCUUGGGUAUUGCCAAAGGAAGCCAUUCAGCAGCUGCUGUCCCCCCACUCCCAAACACAUACAUUUACUCUGGAAGAGCCGUCUUCCCUUUGACCUUGGCCCUUAUUCUGUGUUUAACUGCUCUUACCUGUUGCACUAAUGAACAUGAUUCUAGGUUUUAAAGAGGGAAUUUGAAGCAAUAGGCAAACGGGGCUUGGAUGGAUUGGUCAUACACAUAUCCUGCCUUAAGCCGCUGAGGUGAUGAGUCCAUUGCUCAUGUGACCCUCCACCUUUGUGGAUCCCUCUUACUUUGUGAUCAGUGUGUCUGUUUCAUGAGGUUGUACAAACUUGACAAAAGUUAAUACUUUUGUUUAUAUUCACUGCACUGUUGCACUCUCCAAAUGGCCCCUUAAAAUAUUUUUAUUGACUUGUUACACACAUUUGUCUUUGAUGUCUACGUUAUUUUUUUCUUCUGAUGUCUUUUUUUUAUUUGGAAGGUUACUUGCUGUUGGAUUUAAUAAAUUUGUUUACCUGACUAUUGA